GCCCAAUAACGCCACCCCUGCCGCGAGGCAGGUCCGGAAAGCCGCGGGUCUCGACGGCCGUCGUCGAGACAGCCGGGCCGCUGGG
rnacentral:ncRNA from 1 species